GUUUGCAGAUAUGAACUCAGGACUUGGGAUUCCAGGAAGCACCACAGAACCUCAAUUUCCCUGUUACAGAAUGUGGAAGGAUUUGAAACCUUGGCCUAAGAGACACCUUGCAUUGUGGAUCUUGCCUCCCAUGGCUGAUUUGCAGUUGGAUGUUGAGAAUGACCAGAAGAACUGCGUGUAGUUACAUUUGGUAGCAGCAGAGCUGGUCACAGUCAGCCCACAGUGAGGAAGCAGAGAUGGAUGCUUCUGCCCUGCCAGCUCUGUCCUUUGUAUUCAGUCUGGGACCCCCACCCAUGGGAUGGCACCACCCACAGUUAAGCCUUGUGAUUACAGUUGUAACAGCUCAGCACUUGCCUUUUCCAAUUGGCAAAGGGGAACCCAGUGUCAGAGGUAGCCAGACUUGCUAGUCAGCUGACCUGAGGGUUGUCCUGGAGAUUCUAGGUCCACUGCAUGGACCUUCAAGGUGGAAAAAGGAGGCAGCAUGGAGUCCUUCAUGAUGGCUGUGCAACAGUCAGCAGCUACGGUGGCUUUGGAAAGACCAGGGCAGCAGUGAGAAGUUGGAAAACACCAGGAGUGGCUUUCCUCCCAGAGGCCAACCUACCACCACUUCAUUACCGCCUGGCCAGACUCUGACAGACUUUCCCCGUUCCUCGCCUCUGCUCCUCAAAUGCUCGGGAUGAAACCCAGGGCCGAUGCA